CCCACCCUCAGGGUCCCCCUCCCGCCCGGCUCUGGAAGGGGGAAAGGGGUAAAAACUUACCUUUUUCCAGCGCUGGGCGGAGAGCUCUCUGCCUCCUCUCCUCCUCCGAUCCUCCUCCGUUACGCCCCGCCGGCUGAAUGCGCACGCGCGGCAAGAGCUGCGCGCGCAUUCAGCCAGUCUCAUAGGAAAGCAUUUACAGUGAGAAGCACGCAAGCGCCUCUAGUGGCUGUCAAUGAGACAGCCACUAGAGGGAAUAGGGGGAAGGCUUAACCCAU